rnacentral:rRNA from 1 species
AUACGUAGGGGGCAAGCGUUAUCCGGAUUUACUGGGUGUAAAGGGAGCGUAGACGGAAGGCCAAGUCUGAUGUGAAAGCCCGCGGCUCAACUGCGGGACUGCAUUGGAAACUGGUCAUCUGGAGUGCAGGAGGGGUAAGCGGAAUUCCUAGUGUAGCGGUGAAAUGCGUAGAUAUUAGGAGGAACACCGGUGGCGAAGGCGGCUUACUGGACUGUAACUGACGUUGAGGCUCGAAAGCGUGGGGAGCAAACAGGAUUAGAUACCCUGGUAGUCCACACUGUAAACGAUGAAUGCUAGGUGUAGGAGGUAUCGACCCCUUCUGUGCCGCAGCUAACGCAUUAAGCACUCCGCCUGGGGAGUACGUACGCAAGUAUGAAACUCAAAGGAAUUGACGGGG